AAGCGUAUCCCCGGAGUCGGGGCUCUCCCGGUUUGGCGCGAAACCGGAUCUGACGUUACCAUAGGGAGGUACUCCCUGCCCCUAGACAGGUACUGUUGUAGCUAGGGAAAGAUCCGACGAUUCCUCGGCCUUGUCCCCAGCCUUUACUUGCCUAUGUUCUACUCGGUACCCUCACCUGUACCUCACCGCAGUCGCCGGCUUUGUUUGAGUUAUGCCUUCUUUGCGCGGUGUAGCGAUAGGCGACAGCCAGGUUAAAUUCAUGUGCAGGAGUCGCCUUCACUUGAAAACAUCCGUCGAGACCUGCACAUUUAGUUUUGGUGGUUUUGACGCUGUGCGAAUGGCUGAGGCCGUCUCUGCGAUGCACUCUCAGCGCGUAGACUGUCGUUUUGUACGUUGGUGGUAACGACGUUUGCAGUGCCAACGCGGACCCUCAAGAUAUAUGCGACAAUAUAGGGAAGUUAGUUCUGCAACUGCAGCACGAUGUGGCCCCCGUGGUGUAUACGUCUUCAAAGUGCUGCCACGUUGCUCCAGCUCUGAAGACGCCGAUGCAGAGCGCCAGAUCAAGAAAACGCGCUUGCUGAACCGCAAGCUGACGGCUACGCUGAAACGCCUGCCGUGUGUUCGAAUCUUGAACGCCGAGCAUCGGUUUCUCAAUUCCUCGAAAGAGCCACGACGUGCGUUCUUAGCAAUUGAUGGGUACCAUGUGCACAGAGGCCAAGGGAUCGAUCAGCUGGCCAAAAUCAUCGUCAGUUCUCUUGCCCGUGACUUCGGACCUGGAGUGAAGUCACAUGCACACAGCGAGCUGGGUAUCUGCUACAGGCUGCUGAAGUGCAGCCACUGCAACACAAAAGGCCACGAAGUCCUGCGAGUGCAGCAAAUUCCUUCGCCUACCUUCCCAACAUGAACCAAGACUGCUUUAGAUCAUCUUAUGUGUAAAGCAGCACACAAAAACAAGACAUGAAAGGAGGAAUACAAUUGAACAGGCCAACCACUGCACUUGCAAUUAGCUUAUUUUGAAGGGAAAAAAAGGAGGGGGUAAUACACAUAUGCACAAGUGCACAACAUUCAAAUUUUUUUUAAGCACCGUUAUGAGCAAAAGUCAUUGUUGCAUGUGGUGCACUUGUGGGUAUGUACUAUAUACAUAUUUUUUAAAAGAAUAAACUAGUGGCAAGUGCAACAGUUGUCCUGUUGAAUCAUAUUAAUCCUCUUGUGUCUUUUUUUCUGUGCGCUGCUUUACAUGUUCAGAUGCUCUGUCACCAAUUCACCCGACUUUCAACCUUACUGAAACUUGGCAAAUGCUGCCUGCCAUGAAACGGCCCUUUUCAGGGCCACCCAUGUGUUGUCCGGCUGGUUGCGAAUGCUCCCAACUGUUACCCAGAUAGCCUCCUUGAAACUUGAGAGGAGUUGUGCGGCGCAUGUUGACUCUGCUGGCUGUAUAUUACUUUUGUAUAAUUAAGAUUGUGCCACAGGGUCUUUCAAUUGAAAGUAAUACAUAUAGCAUGACCUUGCAUUAAUUAUCUUUCAUAAAUGCUAAUCACUACUCGAACAAAUCGAGAACGUUUCUGUAUUGCAGCAAAUAAAUGUAGAAAUUGCAUAUGUCAUCACACCUUUAUUGCCCAAAAAAUUGCAUUUAUUGCACAUUCAUCAAGCAAGUGACCUAUGCAGGACACUAUCUCUGCAAGCUCAGAUGUGCACGCGCAGGCCUUGCAUUUAUGGCUUUGCUAUCUCGGCAGCCCUCUGUUCUAUUGCUACCUGUGAAUGUGCCAAGCAGAUUGGUCUGAACGGCAUCACAAGUAGCUAAACACAUUUUAGAGCGCAAUGAACUGGGCUAGUUGGUACUACUUCAUUAUGUCACAGUGCGAGGAAAGAAGCCAAGGCACACAGUGCUGUGUCCCAGCUUUUUCCUCGUUCUGGGAGCACUGGAACAAUGAACAUUUGAGAACAUUCACUUGGAGCUCCUACCAUCACAUUUGGCUACAUGCUCCAAGCCCAGCUCGUCCAGACAUGAUUCAAGGCAUCACAGUUGUGUUCGCAUACAUCAUCUGUGUAGAGAACAAGUUAUUUUGAAUUGAAAAAUGGCCAUCCACCUGUUUUGUACAAGGCUACCAGGAAAUCCAUACUGAUUUCUCAGAAAGGAAGACAAAAAAUUCGUACUGUUCCUGGGCUCAAGCCUGGAACCAACACCUUUCCAGGGCUGUUUCUCUACAACUGAGAUAGCCAGUAGGCUAGCAAUGGGCAGUGUAAGGGCCAAUUAGUUGAAAAGUCAAAGCACACAGAAUGUGGCAAAUGGGUCCUGUGGAAACGUGCAGCAGCUUUUAGCAGAAGAUUCUGCGUUAAUAUCUAUUUAUGAAAAUCAAACUUGAAAGAAAAAACAUUACUUGCAGCUGGUUAUAAGCUACUUAUACCUACUGUGCUUUCCACAGAACUCAUUUGUCAUAUUCAGUGUCCAUGCGCUUCAAACUGAAUUUGCCCUCGCACUUUGAUUACUAGCAUACUGGUUAGCUUAAAUGGUAGAGCGACCACCCCGAAAAAAAGUCGUUCUCGAGUUCAAACUGUGGACCAUGUCAAAUUUUUCGCCAACUAAAAUGCUGUUCUUUAUGAGAAAUCCAUAUGAAUUUUCUCGUAGCUUUGUGCAACAAAUGGGAGUGGAUGGCCAUUUUUACAUUCAUAACCCUUUCUAUGUUGUGCAAAACUCCGCUGUUAUAAACGAGUCAUUUUCUAGCAGCCAACAGCACAUCAUAGUGUUUGUAGAUCUGGAGUGCUUCCCAAUACGGACCACUGAGAAUGGCACAGUUGCAUUGUGGGGCAAAAGUAUAUGGACAGUUUGUGCCACUGAGCAAGCUUAUGUUAUGAGGCCCAGCAGCACAUAGUGCUGGCAUUGUUGACAUAGUUCCUUGAAAGGCAGUGGGGGUUAACAUAGGCUGAAGUUGAGGCAUCUCCGUUGUAGUGCAGACAAAACGGGUGCGGAUAGUUCGUUCAUGCUACUGAGAGAAAGUAACGGAAGACAUGGCAGCAACACACAAUGCCGUUUAUGAGUUUGCAAGGCAGGCCAACUGCACCAAGGCGGAUGAACUGCAAACAAGAGAGCCACAUGGUGUUUCUAAGUGUCAGGCUGUACGUCACGAAAAUUUAGCUCAAGAAAGUGAGCCCAUAGUGUGCACUAUAGGUGACCGCAUCUGUUUGUAUAUAACAUGGCAAAUAAGCUGAUUGGUACAAACUGAGUGAGAAGAGUUUAGCAAGAGUUUCAUGCCACGUCUUGAAUGUGCUUGAAAAAGUGCGUGAGCCAACAUGUUAAUAGGCUGCUAUCGAACAAUGUAUCUAGUUUUUCUUUUCUAGUAAGACCUGUAUAUCCGAAAGUUGGCCUCCCAGACAAAUAUGUAUUAUGGGUGUCAUACUGUCAAUUUUGAUCACGAUGGGACCUGACUGGGUAGAAUUUCUCUACUGUGAUUAUUUACUGUAUGCAAGUUGCAGAAACGAGUCAAUCACUGUUGAGAAAUUUGACCCUGAUUGGGCUUAAUUGCGAUCAGCAGUGCACCAUGUGACAACGGUAUCAUCCGAGUUAGUUUCUAAGUAUGGUCUACAUCCAAGCCGUGGAUGGAUCAACCUGUAAACCUAAAGCGGCGGCACUUACGACUGCAGUUUCGCAAAGUCGUACUCUGUCUUGCUGCAGCUUUUAGCACACCAUUCUUUCUAUAACUGUUUGAGACGCUUUGUAUACAACUGUCUACAUCACAUGUUUUUGCUAGUCGUGUUGACUAGUGGCUAAGAAAGAACAAGAUACAUUUAAGAGUGGAUAAAUUGAACCUCCUGUGUAAUAGAUCUGUUUUCAACUUCAUUUUGCAGUGUACUGUUAAAUAUAGUCAAUUAGCAGAAGGCACUACCAUGUUUGAUGUUCCGCUUUUUCCAAGUCACCUAAAAAGUAUAAUUUAUCUUUGCUCGAAAUGAUCAUAACCAAAAAAAGAAAAAUUAGUACUGUAUUUCUAGCCUGAGAUUUCAUUCUAUUUUUGCAAAAAGCAGAACAUGAAUGACUUCAGGUUCAAUGCAAUUGCAGUUUAAUCAAGAUUAGUUACUAUAAAGCACAUACAUGACAAUAUUUUUGUUGCAACGUCGAGUCCCUUGAGAUAAUGUGCAACUCUGACGAAUUACAGGCAGUUCUUCAUAGAUCGCGUCUGAAAGGGUUUAAUGUAGUCGAAUGAAAGCUCGCACUUGAAUCGAAAGUUCAACCCGACUUGCAGCUCAGUGGUAGCAAGUUCUACUGUGCGUUUAGUUCUGAUUUUUUUCUUUUUUUUUUUUGCAC